rnacentral:lncRNA from 1 species
AAGUUUUGAAGUUAUAUUUUUAAUUUGAAUCUGUAAAUGUUAUUCGUAGUUAGCGUCUCGAAAAUUCUAAAGAUUUCGUGUUUUAGAUUUCUUAAAUACAAGUAUCUCCAUGUCUUAUUCUCAAUCAUUAUUAUUUGGAUAUGUACGUAGUUCCAAGCGGCUGGGGCUACGCUCAACCUCGCCAUAUCUUAUGCCCAUAGGUAUGCGGUUUUUGCGGGAAAAGUGGCAAAGGAGAAUCCAAAAUUGAAGAAGGAUUUUGCGACGAUUCAGGAUGCCUUCAUGACCAUUAGCAUGUCUCUCAAAAGUGCUAAACUUGAACUCAAGGAUUCGCCGGACACCGCCAACUAUGACGUCAUGGUUUGUACCGACAGCACAAUGAUAGUGAAGAACUUGAUCGGUAAAAAUACAGACAAGGUGUCGAAGACUGUCAUGUUGAUGACACUAAAGAUGGAGAAGCUUCUUGCUAUGGCCGUUGGAGCCACCGUAGCUGUUGGCGGGUAAAGACGACGAUAAGAACACAUACCAUCGUCAGAUUUGUCAUAUUUAGUUUACUCUAUAUUUAGUUUACUUUUGAGUAUAAGGUUGUUGUUAUUUAAUUCUAGAGGAUGUGAUGUUCUGUUUUCUAUGAGGAUCAAAACAUUUCUCUUCGAUAGAACAUAUGCAUGUCUUGAAAACCCAACUACGACGUCAUGGUCUCUGGCGAUGAAAUAAGGCGUGUUAAGGGUUUGGUCGAGAAAAACACUGACCCGUCUUCAAAGACGCUCAUGAGAUGACUUUGCAGAUGGAGAAGCUUCUUGAUCUCGCUGCUGGAGCCACCGAUGCCGUUGACGACGACGAUGAGAAGUUACAUCGUCGUGCUUGAUGUUUUAACUAAGUUUGGUUUUUGGUUUACUUUUGUUAAGAAAGCAUGCAUGGAUUCAAAGGGACAUAUGAAAACUAUUUGUCUUGAAUCUUAGGAUAAUUUCAAAUUGUAAUUUGUGAUAUUAAUGUCGAAGAAAUUAUUUUUUUUAUACAUGCAACUAUGCAAGCGUAUAUACCGUAGUUGGCAGUAUUUUUAUACAUGCAAGCGUUUUCUUUUGCUUAUUCCGUAUAGGCUUUACAAUGUCUACUAGUAUUUGUGUCCUCGUUUUCAUUUCAUGGAUAUAUGUAAAGAAUUAUUUUUUUUAAGACAUAAAUUAUCUACCCAGUCAUAUAAAACAGUAUAAAACAUAAAUAACUAUACAGUUAACCUGACGUAAACAUCUCAGGUGAAAAUCUACUGGUCUCUCUAAUUCCAGUGAUUCUUGGGACGAAAGCACGAAACCACAUAGCAUGUUUUGGUUUCAGAACUAUUAAAAAAAAGCAACAACUAGUUUUUGGUAGAUAAAAUGAAUUUCUAAGAAAUAAAUUUAGAUUCAAAUUAUGCUGGAAUUUUAAGAAUGAUGGUUACUAUAAGAAAAUGGACAAGAAAUAGUUAAAAAUAGAAAAGAAAAAGGAGGAAAUUGAUGAAGUCAUGAAACUCUGGAGGGGGAAAGCACACAAAUCCGUGUGGGGAAAUAAAUAAUGUAUUCAAAGUGUAAUUUCAAAUGAUUUGUAAAAAGUUUACAAAUCAUGUGUUAUUCAAUCAUGAAUUUCAAAAAGUUUCAUGAAAUCCAGUGUCAUUUAAUUAAUCAUUUUAAAAUCUACCUUAAAAUCCACUGUUAUUGAAAAUAAUUUGUCGAUUUGAUUUUAAAUGAUUUUGGAGGAUUUCAGGGAACUUCUUUUGUUAAAAAUACAAGAAUCAAAUCUCAUAGUUUUAUGUGGGUGAGAUUUGAAAAGAUUUUACAUAAAUCAUAUGAAGUUCCCAAAAAUCAACAAAAUCUCAAUAAAAUUCAAAUCUCUUAAAAUGCUACUUUGAAUACACUCCCCUUAGUUUUGACCAAAAUUUUGUCCAAGUGCCCAUAAUUUUUCUCUAUAUGACAAUUUUUAUAUAAAAAAAUAAGUGGGGUUCUUGCAUGCAUAUCCAAAUUUAUAAAAAUAAAGUGGCCACUGGUUUUUCAUGUCAUGUGUUGUGUUUGCGAAUAAUUAUUUCCACCUUACAUAUGACAUUGAUCUAAUUUUAGGCCAUUUUAUGGUCAUUCACAAAAUUCUGCGAAAAAAAGAUAACAACAAUAAAUUCAACCAAAUAUUAUCAUCCAUCUUUAUUUUGUACUUUCUAUUAAGAGUAUUAAAUAAAAAUUAGAAAUUCUAAAGAGAACGUAAAUAGGAACAAAAUCUUAAAGCAAAUGGGCCAAAACUGUACUGUGUAUAUGUUAUGCGUGCAAGUGUUAUAUAAACCAAACCACAAUUGUUGAACAAUAAAGUACCAAAAUCAAAACAUUUAACUAAAGAAAUGGCUUCUUCUUCCUCUUGUGUUGGCCUCCUUUCUCUUGUGAUUCUGAUACCAUUUCUUUUAGUCUCUGCUUCGGCCACAAAAUACAUCGACGUCAUAUGCGAACGUGCCGGUACUACCCACAAAGCCUUCUGCGUCAAAACUUUGAACGCAUACCCUUCUGCGGCUUCUGCCACCAGCAUGGUACGUACCAAUAAUACAUAUUUUCCAAAGCCAAAUAGAUAGAGUUUAUAUAACUUGUUACGUUCCAACGUCGGUUCUUGUUUCUUCUUGACCGAUUAUAUAUUUUCUUGUAAAAUUGUCAGUUAAAGUUUUGAAGUUAUAUUUUUAAUUUGAAUCUGUAUAUGUUAUUCGCAUUUAGCGUCUCAAAAAUUCUAAAGACUUGGCCGUUUUAGAUUUUUUAAAUACAAGUAUCUCCAUGUCUUAUUCUCAAUGAUCAUUAUUAUUUGGAUAUGUACGUAGUUCCAAGCGGCUGGGGCUACGCUCAACCUCGCCAUAUCUUAUGCCAAUAGGUAUGCGGGUUUUGCCGGAAAAGUGGCAAAGGAGAAUCCAAAAUUGAAGAGGGAUUUUGCGACGAUUCAGAAUGCC